UUAAGUGAAUAAGGGCGCACGGUGGAUGCCUUGGCACUAGGAGCCGAUGAAGGACGGGACUAACACCGAUAUGCUUUGGGGAGCUGUAAGUAAGCUAUGAUCCAGAGAUUUCCGAAUGGGGGAACCCAAUAUCUUUUAUAGGAUAUUACUUUUCAGUGAAUACAUAGCUGAUUAGAGGUAGACGCAGAGAACUGAAACAUCUUAGUAUCUGCAGGAAGAGAAAGAAAAUUCGAUUCCCUGAGUAGCGGCGAGCGAAACGGGAAGAGCCCAAACCAACAAGCUUGCUUGUUGGGGUUGUAGGACUCCGAUAUGGUAGUCUGUUAGUAUAGUUGAAGGAUUUGGAAAAUUCCGCUAAAGAGGGUGAAAGCCCCGUAGACGAAAUGCUGACAACACCUAGGAGGAUCCUGAGUACGGCGGAACACGAGAAAUUCCGUCGGAAUCCGCGGGGACCAUCCCGCAAGGCUAAAUACUCCCUAGUGACCGAUAGUGAACCAGUACCGUGAGGGAAAGGUGAAAAGCACCCCGGAAGGGGAGUGAAAUAGAUCCUGAAACCGUGUGCCUACAACAAGUCAAAGCUCGUUAAUGAGUGAUGGCGUGCCUUUUGUAGAAUGAACCGGCGAGUUACGAUUGCAUGCGAGGUUAAGUCGAAGAGACGGAGCCGCAGCGAAAGCGAGUCUGAAUAGGGCGAAUGAGUAUGUAGUCGUAGACCCGAAACCAUGUGAUCUACCCAUGUCCAGGUUGAAGGUGCGGUAAAACGCACUGGAGGACCGAACCCACGUACGUUGAAAAGUGCGGGGAUGAGGUGUGGGUAGCGGAGAAAUUCCAAACGAACUUGGAGAUAGCUGGUUCUCUCCGAAAUAGCUUUAGGGCUAGCCUCGGAAUUGAGAAUGAUGGAGGUAGAGCACUGUUUGGACUAGGGGCCCAUCUCGGGUUACCGAAUUCAGAUAAACUCCGAAUGCCAUUCAUUUAUAUCCGGGAGUCAGACUGCGAGUGAUAAGAUCCGUAGUCGAAAGGGAAACAGCCCAGACCACCAGCUAAGGUCCCAAAAUAUAUGUUAAGUGGAAAAGGAUGUGGGGUUGCACAGACAACUAGGAUGUUGGCUUAGAAGCAGCCACCAUUUAAAGAGUGCGUAAUAGCUCACUAGUCGAGUGACCCUGCGCCGAAAAUGUACCGGGGCUAAACAUAUUACCGAAGCUGUGGACUACACCAUUAGGUGUAGUGGUAGGAGAGCGUUCUAAGGGCGUUGAAGGUCGAUCGUGAGGACGGCUGGAGCGCUUAGAAGUGAGAAUGCCGGUAUGAGUAGCGAAAGACAGGUGAGAAUCCUGUCCACCGUAUGACUAAGGUUUCCUGGGGAAGGCUCGUCCGCCCAGGGUUAGUCGGGACCUAAGCCGAGGCCGAUAGGCGUAGGCGAUGGACAACAGGUUGAUAUUCCUGUACCAGUUGUUUUUGUUUGAGCAAUGGAGGGACGCAGUAGGCUAAGGAAUGCAUGCGAUUGGAAGUGCAUGUCCAAGCAAUGAGUCUUGAGUAGAGUUAAAUGCUUUACUCUCUAAGGACAAGUUGUGACGGGGAGCGAAAUAAUAGUAGCGAAGUUCCUGAUGUCACACUGCCAAGAAAAGCUUCUAGUGAGAAAACAACUGCCCGUACCGUAAACCGACACAGGUAGUCGAGGAGAGUAUCCUAAGGUGAGCGAGCGAACUCUCGUUAAGGAACUCGGCAAAAUGACCCCGUAACUUCGGGAGAAGGGGUGCUGACUUCGGUCAGCCGCAGUGAAUAGGCCCAAGCGACUGUUUAUCAAAAACACAGGUCUCUGCAAAAUCGUAAGAUGAAGUAUAGGGGCUGACGCCUGCCCGGUGCUGGAAGGUUAAGAGGAUGGGUUAGCUUCGGCGAAGCUCAGAAUUGAAGCCCCAGUAAACGGCGGCCGUAACUAUAACGGUCCUAAGGUAGCGAAAUUCCUUGUCGGGUAAGUUCCGACCCGCACGAAAGGCGUAACGAUUUGGGCACUGUCUCAACGAGAGACUCGGUGAAAUUUUAGUACCUGUGAAGAUGCAGGUUACCCGCGACAGGACGGAAAGACCCCAUGGAGCUUUACUGUAGUUUGAUAUUGAGUGUUUGUACCACAUGUACAGGAUAGGUAGGAGCCGAUGAGACCGGAACGCUAGUUUCGGAGGAGGCGCUGGUGGGAUACUACCCUUGUGUUAUGAACCCUCUAACCCGCACCACUAAUCGUGGUGGGAGACAGUGUCAGAUGGGCAGUUUGACUGGGGCGGUCGCCUCCUAAAAGGUAACGGAGGCGCCCAAAGGUUCCCUCAGAAUGGUUGGAAAUCAUUCGAAGAGUGUAAAGGCAGAAGGGAGCUUGACUGCGAGACCUACAAGUCGAGCAGGGACGAAAGUCGGGCUUAGUGAUCCGGUGGUUCCGCAUGGAAGGGCCAUCGCUCAACGGAUAAAAGCUACCCUGGGGAUAACAGGCUUAUCUCCCCCAAGAGUCCACAUCGACGGGGAGGUUUGGCACCUCGAUGUCGGCUCGUCGCAUCCUGGGGCUGUAGUCGGUCCCAAGGGUUGGGCUGUUCGCCCAUUAAAGCGGCACGCGAGCUGGGUUCAGAACGUCGUGAGACAGUUCGGUCCCUAUCCGUCGCGGGCGUUGGAAAUUUGAGAGGAGCUGUCCUUAGUACGAGAGGACCGGGAUGGACUUACCGCUGGUGUACCAGUUGUUCUGCCAAGGGCAUUGCUGGGUAGCUAUGUAGGGAAGGGAUAAACGCUGAAAGCAUCUAAGUGUGAAGCCCACCUCAAGAUGAGAUUUCCCAUUUCUUUAAGAAAGUAAGACCCCUGAGAGAUGAUCAGGUAGAUAGGUUGGAAGUGGAAGGCUAGUGAUAGUUGGAGCGGACCAAUACUAAUCGGUCGAGGACUUAACCAA
rnacentral:rRNA from 2 species